rnacentral:misc_RNA from 1 species
UUAGGGGUCCAUUUGAAUAGGUAUGCAUUUUAGAUGAAUGUGAAUUUGAAUUUAUGUUUCAAGUAAAAACUCAUGAAGUAUUAGCUAAUAUCAAACUUAAAUACCCCUUCGAUUUUAAAUCUCAUCUAUCUGAAUAAACCCUAAUAUUAUUCACUUUUCAAUUGCAUCAUUUUAAAGAGACAAGAAUAGGUUGCUACUGAUACAACUGAUGCUUGUAUGA